CCAAGUGGCCUUUGUGUGUGUGUGUGUGUGUGUGUGUGUGUGUGUUUAUUAGGUUUGUUGUUGUUUUAUUGUAACUAUCAGGGCAAGAUCACUAAAACACAGAUGAUGGCAAAUUACCAGGAAUUAUGAUUGUUUUAAGUGAAUAUUUUAUUUUUUGUUAAUAUUAUUCCAUGACUGUGUUGGCAUGCCCUGUAUCAUUUAUUAACUAUGAAUGCUGGACAUAUACAAUUUUUAUUUUUACAUGGCUUUUUGUGUUGCAUUCUGUUUGU